UACGUAGGGGGCAAGCGUUGUCCGGAAUCAUUGGGCGUAAAGCGCGUGUAGGCGGCUUGGCAAGUCAGUUGUGAAAGCCCGGGGCCCAACCCCGGAACUGCAUCUGAAACUGCCUGGCUAGAGUCCCGGAGAGGAAGGCAGAAUUCCCGGUGUAGGGGUGAAAUCCGUAGAUAUCGGGAGGAAUACCAGCGGCGAAGGCGGCCUUCUGGACGGUGACUGACGCUGAGACGCGAAAGCGUGGGAGCAAACAGG
rnacentral:rRNA from 1 species